UACGUAGGGUGCAAGCGUUAAUCGGAAUUACUGGGCGUAAAGCGUGCGCAGGCGGUUUUGUAAGUCAGAUGUGAAAUCCCCGGGCUUAACUUGGGAAUUGCGCUCGAAACUACUUUGCUGGAGUGUGGCAGAGGAAGGUGGAAUUCCACGUGUAGCGGUGAAAUGCGUAGAGAUGUGGAGGAACACCAAUGGCGAAGGCAGCCUUCUGGGCCAACACUGACGCUCAUGCACGAAAGCGUGGGGAGCAAACAGG
rnacentral:rRNA from 1 species